UACGAAUGGGGCGAGCGUUGUUCGGAAUCACUGGGCGUAAAGCGUACGUAGGCGGACUAGAAAGUCAGAAGUGAAAUCCCGGGGCUUAACCUCGGAAUUGCUUUUGAAACUUCUAGUCUAGAGGCCCGGAGAGGCCAGCGGAAUUCCGAGUGUAGAGGUGAAAUUCGCAGAUAUUCGGAGGAACACCAGUUGCGUAGGCGGCUGGCUGGACGGGCACUGACGCUGAGGUACGAAAGCGUGGGGAUCAAACAGGAUUAGAUACCCUGGUAGUCCACGCCGUAAACGAUGUGUGCUAGUUGUCGGGGUCUUUAGGCUUCGGUGACGCAGCUAACGCUUUAAGCACACCGCCUGGGGAGUACGGUCGCAAGAUUAAA
rnacentral:rRNA from 1 species